CUUUCGCGACAUAACUGCAGGGCCUGAUCCUCUUCUACUUUAGAGGCAGAGGCCCCCAUAUUACUACCUUCUAAUGAUAGAUACUCCCCUAAAAAAGCAAUCAAGGGUCAAGACUUAAGGAUUCUCCUGAAAAGAGAAAAGGCCCAGUUUGGGACUCAAAAGUUGCAGCAAAAUAGAAUCAAAUUUAAAACACAGAAGACGGUGGCAAGAUAGGAUUCACCCUGAAAAACAAAGGGCAACAAUAAAAUAACAACAGUUAGAAGCAAAAUUCAUGAACAAACAUCAAUCUUCAACAAU